GACGUGCGUCUGUGGAGGAGCGC
rnacentral:piRNA from 1 species